GAUGGCAAACAGACAAAUGUAUAUGUAUAUGAAGUGAAGGGAAAUUGGACAAAGGCGCUUAAAGCGAUUUCAAGUUCUUUAAGCGAGCCCGCACCAUUUUAACAAACAUUUAAGUUGGAAGCUCUGUUGCGUCUGUGUAAGCUUUCUUCCCGAAUUUUGAAAGGAAAAUGCAAAGUGUGUAAAAUUACCUGCACAUAACUUACAGCUUCGUCCUCAUCCGUUCUUAAGCCUUGCACAGUGUUAUGUCAAUGUGAAUUUUUUUUAGUAGAAUUGCAGGAAGAUAAGGUCUUCAAUAGACUAGUCAAAGAAGCGGAGACAAUGGGUCCGAUAGUGAACGAGGACAAGACGGAAUAUCUCCUGUCAUCAAAGAAUCAGUCAGCGUCUUGAUCGUCACAUCACUG